CCUACGGGAGGCAGCAGUAAGGAAUAUUGGUCAAUGGAGGCAACUCUGAACCAGCCAUGCCGCGUGCAGGAAGAAGGCCCUAUGGGUCGUAAACUGCUUUUGUACCAGAGAAAACCCGAGUACGUGUACUCGGUUGAUAGUAUGGUAAGAAUAAGCAUCGGCUAACUUCGUGCCAGCAGCCGCGGUAAGACGAAGGAUGCAAGCGUUAUCCGGAUUCAUUGGGUUUAAAGGGUGCGUAGGCGGACUGAUAAGUCAGUGGUGAAAUCUCUCGGCUUAACCGAGAAACUGCCAUUGAUACUGUUAGUCUAGAGUAUAGAUGACGUUGGCGGAAUAUGACAUGUAGUGGUGAAAUACUUAGAUAUGUCAUAGAACACCGAUUGCGAAGGCAGCUAACGAAACUAUAACUGACGCUGAGGCACGAAAGUGCGGGGAUCAAACAGGAUUAGAUACCCUGGUAGUCCGCACCGUAAACGAUGAUUACUCGUUGUUGGCAAUAUGACCGUCAGCGACCAAGCGAAAGCGAUAAGUAAUCCACCUGGGGAGUACGCCGGCAACGGUGAAACUCAAAGGAAUUGACGGCUGAGAGNGCGACGACGACGACGAGGGAGGAGG
rnacentral:rRNA from 1 species